GAUACAUUGACGGUGGUGUGUC
rnacentral:siRNA from 1 species